rnacentral:rRNA from 1 species
AACGAACGCUGGCGGCAUGCCUAACACAUGCAAGUCGAACGAGACCUUCGGGUCUAGUGGCGCACGGGUGCGUAACGCGUGGGAACCUGCCCUUAGGUUCGGAAUAACUCCCCGAAAGGGGUGCUAAUACCGGAUAAUGUCUUCGGACCAAAGAUUUAUCGCCUUUGGAUGGGCCCGCGUUGGAUUAGCUAGUUGGUAGGGUAAAAGCCUACCAAGGCGACGAUCCAUAGCUGGUCUGAGAGGAUGAUCAGCCACACUGGGACUGAGACACGGCCCAGACUCCUACGGGAGGCAGCAGUGGGGAAUAUUGGACAAUGGGCGAAAGCCUAAUCCAGCAAUGCCGCGUGAGUGAUGAAGGCCUUAGGGUUGUAAAGCUCUUUUACCCGGGAUGAUAAUGACAGUACCGGGAGAAUAAGCUCCGGCUAACUCCG